rnacentral:rRNA from 1 species
UACAAAGGAAUUGACGGGACCCGCACAAGCGGUGGAUGAUGUGGUUUAAUUCGAUGCAACGCGAAAACCUUACCCACCUUUGACAUGUACGGAAGCCUUUAGAGAUAGAGGCGUGCUCGAAAGAGAGCCGUAACACAGGUGCUGCAUGGCUGUCGUCAGCUCGUGUCGUGAGAUGUUGGGUUAAGUCCCGCAACGAGCGCAACCCUUGUCAUUAGUUGCUACAUUCAGUUGGGCACUCUAAUGAGACUGCCGGUGACAAGCCGGAGGAAGGUGGGGAUGACGUCAAGUCCUCAUGGCCCUUAUAGGUGGGGCUACACACGUCAUACAAUGGCUGGUACAAAGGGUUGCCAACCCGCGAGGGGGAGCUAAUCCCAUAAAGCCAGUCGUAGUCCGGAUCGUAGUCUGCAACUCGACUACGUGAAGUCGGAAUCGCUAGUAAUCGUGGAUCAGAAUGUCACGGUGAAUACGUUCCCGGGUCUU